GUAAGUGUCUAAGGGCGCAUGGUGGAUGCCUUGGCAUCGAGAGCCGAUGAAGGACGUGGGAGGCUGCGAUAUGCCUCGGGGAGCUGUCAACCGAGCGUGGAUCCGAGGAUUUCCGAAUGGGGAAACCCAGCACGAGUGAUGUCGUGCUACCCGCAUCUGAAUAUAUAGGGUGCGGGAGGGAACGCGGGGAAGUGAAACAUCUCAGUACCCGUAGGAGGAGAAAACAAUUGUGAUUCCGCAAGUAGUGGCGAGCGAACGCGGAACAGGCUAAACCGCACGCAUGGGUAACCGGGUAGGGGUUGUGUGUGCGGGGUUGUGGGAGGAUAUGUCUCAGCGCUACCCGGCUGAGAGGCAGUCAGAAAGUGUCGUGGUUAGCGGAAGUGGCCUGGGAUGGUCUGCCGUAGACGGUGAGAGCCCGGUACGCGAAAACCCGGCACCUGCCUAGUAUCAAUUCCCGAGUAGCAGCGGGCCCGUGGAAUCCGCUGUGAAUCCGCCGGGACCACCCGGUAAGCCUAAAUACUCCUCGAUGACCGAUAGCGGAUUAGUACCGUGAGGGAAUGGUGAAAAGUACCCCGGGAGGGGAGUGAAAGAGUACCUGAAACCGUGUGCCUACAAUCCGUCAGAGCCUCCUUUUCCUCUCCGGAGGAGGGUGGUGAUGGCGUGCCUUUUGAAGAAUGAGCCUGCGAGUCAGGGACAUGUCGCAAGGUUAACCCGUGUGGGGUAGCCGCAGCGAAAGCGAGUCUGAAUAGGGCGACCCACACGCGCAUACGCGCGUGUGAAUAGUGGCGUGUUCUGGACCCGAAGCGGAGUGAUCUACCCAUGGCCAGGGUGAAGCGCGGGUAAGACCGCGUGGAGGCCCGAACCCACUUAGGUUGAAGACUGAGGGGAUGAGCUGUGGGUAGGGGUGAAAGGCCAAUCAAACUCCGUGAUAGCUGGUUCUCCCCGAAAUGCAUUUAGGUGCAGCGUUGCGUGGUUCACCGCGGAGGUAGAGCUACUGGAUGGCCGAUGGGCCCUACUAGGUUACUGACGUCAGCCAAACUCCGAAUGCCGUGGUGUAAAGCGUGGCAGUGAGACGGCGGGGGAUAAGCUCCGUACGUCGAAAGGGAAACAGCCCAGAUCGCCGGCUAAGGCCCCCAAGCGUGUGCUAAGUGGGAAAGGAUGUGCAGUCGCAAAGACAACCAGGAGGUUGGCUUAGAAGCAGCCACCCUUGAAAGAGUGCGUAAUAGCUCACUGGUCAAGUGAUUGUGCGCCGAUAAUGUAGCGGGGCUCAAGCACACCGCCGAAGCCGCGGCACAUCCACCUUGUGGUGGGUGUGGGUAGGGGAGCGUCCCUCAUUCAGCGAAGCCACCGGGUGACCGGUGGUGGAGGGUGGGGGAGUGAGAAUGCAGGCAUGAGUAGCGACAAGGCAAGUGAGAACCUUGCCCGCCGAAAGACCAAGGGUUCCUGGGCCAGGCCAGUCCGCCCAGGGUGAGUCGGGACCUAAGGCGAGGCCGACAGGCGUAGUCGAUGGACAACGGGUUGAUAUUCCCGUACCCGUGUGUGGGCGCCCGUGACGAAUCAGCGGUACUAACCACCCAAAACCGGAUCGAUCACUCCCCUUCGGGGGUGUGGAGUUCUGGGGCUGCGUGGGAACUUCGCUGGUAGUAGUCAAGCGAAGGGGUGACGCAGGAAGGUAGCCGUACCAGUCAGUGGUAACACUGGGGCAAGCCGGUAGGGAGAGCGAUAGGCAAAUCCGUCGCUCACUAAUCCUGAGAGGUGACGCAUAGCCGGUUGAGGCGAAUUCGGUGAUCCUCUGCUGCCAAGAAAAGCCUCUAGCGAGCACACACACGGCCCGUACCCCAAACCGACACAGGUGGUCAGGUAGAGCAUACCAAGGCGUACGAGAUAACUAUGGUUAAGGAACUCGGCAAAAUGCCCCCGUAACUUCGGGAGAAGGGGGACCGGAAUAUCGUGAACACCCUUGCGGUGGGAGCGGGAUCCGGUCGCAGAAACCAGUGAGGAGCGACUGUUUACUAAAAACACAGGUCCGUGCGAAGUCGCAAGACGAUGUAUACGGACUGACGCCUGCCCGGUGCUGGAAGGUUAAGAGGACCCGUUAACCCGCAAGGGUGAAGCGGAGAAUUUAAGCCCCAGUAAACGGCGGUGGUAACUAUAACCAUCCUAAGGUAGCGAAAUUCCUUGUCGGGUAAGUUCCGACCUGCACGAAUGGCGUAACGACUUCUCAACUGUCUCAACCAUAGACUCGGCGAAAUUGCACUACGAGUAAAGAUGCUCGUUACGCGCGGCAGGACGAAAAGACCCCGGGACCUUCACUACAACUUGGUAUUGAUGUUCGGUACGGUUUGUGUAGGAUAGGUGGGAGACUGUGAAACCUCGACGCCAGUUGGGGCGGAGUCGUUGUUGAAAUACCACUCUGAUCGUAUUGGGCAUCUAACCUCGAACCCUGAAUCGGGUUUAGGGACAGUGCCUGGCGGGUAGUUUAACUGGGGCGGNUCCCUCAACCUGGACGGCAAUCAGGUGGCGAGUGUAAAUGCACAAGGGAGCUUGACUGCGAGACUUACAAGUCAAGCAGGGACGAAAGUCGGGAUUAGUGAUCCGGCACCCCCGAGUGGAAGGGGUGUCGCUCAACGGAUAAAAGGUACCCCGGGGAUAACAGGCUGAUCUUCCCCAAGAGUCCAUAUCGACGGGAUGGUUUGGCACCUCGAUGUCGGCUCGUCGCAUCCUGGGGCUGGAGCAGGUCCCAAGGGUUGGGCUGUUCGCCCAUUAAAGCGGCAC
rnacentral:rRNA from 1 species